rfam:Salmo salar isolate Sally breed double haploid chromosome ssa04, whole genome shotgun sequence.
AGCAUGUUAUAUCAUAAGUCGCUCUGGAUAAGAGCGUCUGCUAAAUGACUUAAA